AUAUCUUUUGUGUUUUUGUCCGUUAGAGUCAUUAUUAUUUUUCUUUUUGUCCUUUUUGGCUCAGAGAGAGAUGUUGGAGUGUGAGAGAGUUUCGUUUCUCUCCUUUCUGACCGUUGGCGAGUCCAAAAGAAGAAGAGAUAUUUUCAAUUUUCUUUAUUAAUUAUGCAAUUAAUUUAAAUGCUAUUUUUUGAUUGGAUGAUAGAAAUGGACAA
rnacentral:lncRNA from 1 species